CAUGCAAGUCGAACGGGAUCCAUGCAGUAGCAAUACUGCGGAAGAUCUAGUGGCGAACGGGUGAGGAACACGUGAAGAACCUGCCCCGAACUCUGGGAUAACAGUUGGAAACGACUGCUAAUACCGGAUGCCGUUGUUGGAGUCACAUGGCUCUACAACGAAAGUUUUUCGGUUCGGGAGGGCUUCGCGGCCUAUCAGCUAGUUGGUGAGGUAACGGCUCACCAAGGCAUCGACGGGUAGCUGGUCUGAGAGGAUGAUCAGCCACACUGGGACUGAGACACGGCCCAGACUCCUACGGGAGGCAGCAGUGGGGAAUCUUGCGCAAUGGGCGAAAGCCUGACGCAGCAACGCCGCGUGCGGGAAGAAGGCUUUAGGGUUGUAAACCGCUUUCAGCAGGGAAGAAAAUGACGGUACCUGCAGAAGAAGGUGCGGCCAACUACGUGCCAGCAGCCGCGGUGACACGUAGGCACCAAGCGUUGUCCGGAUUUAUUGGGCGUAAAGAGCUCGUAGGCGGUUCAGUAAGUCGGGUGUGAAAACUCUGGGCUUAACCCAGAGCCGCCACCCGAUACUGCUGUGACUUGAGUCCGGUAGGGGAGCGGGGAAUUCCUGGUGUAGCGGUGAAAUGCGCAGAUAUCAGGAGGAACACCGGUGGCGAAGGCGCCGCUCUGGGCCGAGACUGACGCUGAGGAGCGAAAGCAUGGGUAGCAAACAGGAUUAGAUACCCUGGUAGUCCAUGCCGUAAACGUUGGGCACCAGGUGUGGGCAUCAACCAACGAUGUCCGCGCCGUCGCUAACGCAUUAAGUGCCCCGCCUGGGGAGUACGGUCGCAAGACUAAAACUCAAAGGAAUUGACGGGGGCUCGCACAAGCAGCGGAGCGUGUUGCUUAAUUCGAUGCUACGCG
rnacentral:rRNA from 1 species